UCCCAGGCAAGGGGGCUCAGCCAGCCCAGUGCUCGGGGCUCUGGCUAUGCCAUCCACACAUGACAUUGCUUCCUGUGUCAUCCACAGGUUGUUUCUCAGCAUUUUUGUGCAGCAGACCCAGAGUUUUUCUUCAGAAAUACCAUCGCCUCCCGUGGUGUGCAGAAUCCUCCCCUGUAUGUUAACACACAUGGAUCUAGUAUCAGCUGUGGCAUGGUUGCGCACUUAAAGAUAUCUUCUGGGACAUGACAGCUUUACCCAUCUAGUGCCAAGCAAAAUGCCUGCCAACACCAACUGUCACAUACCUGUUACCGCCCAGAACUUCCAUCAGAACAGGACAACAUGAAUGACCCAGAUUGGAAGUCUGGCCUUGCUUGAUUUUGCAAUACUGCAGCUAGUGAAGAAUAGACAAUCUGAUGAGCUGGCCCUCUGCAAGUAUCUUACAGUGAGGAAAAAGAUAAUCAAGAGCCAACAUUGUCCUGCAAAGAUACUAUCUGCUGUAUUAAAUGUAUGUAACAGCUUGUUUUCAGAUCCUGUGGUCAUCAUUUUAAAAACUGCCCUACCACUACGCUAAGAAAGGUGCAAGAGCUUCAAGCCCACAAGUGCAUCCAUAACAGUACAGGAGGGCUGUAGAGAGGUA